CAGGCUUAACACAUGCAAGUCGAGGGGCAGCAUGGUCUUAGCUUGCUAAGGCCGAUGGCGACCGGCGCACGGGUGAGUAACACGUAUCCAACCUGCCGUCUACUCUUGGACAGCCUUCUGAAAGGAAGAUUAAUACAAGAUGGCAUCAUGAGUCCGCAUGUUCACAUGAUUAAAGGUAUUCCGGUAGACGAUGGGGAUGCGUUCCAUUAGAUAGUAGGCGGGGUAACGGCCCACCUAGUCUUCGAUGGAUAGGGGUUCUGAGAGGAAGGUCCCCCACAUUGGAACUGAGACACGGUCCAAACUCCUACGGGAGGCAGCAGUGAGGAAUAUUGGUCAAUGGGCGAGAGCCUGAACCAGCCAAGUAGCGUGAAGGAUGACUGCCCUAUGGGUUGUAAACUUCUUUUAUAAAGGAAUAAAGUCGGGUAUGGAUACCCGUUUGCAUGUACUUUAUGAAUAAGGAUCGGCUAACUCCGUGCCAGCAGCCGCGGUAAUACGGAGGAUCCGAGCGUUAUCCGGAUUUAUUGGGUUUAAAGGGAGCGUAGAUGGAUGUUUAAGUCAGUUGUGAAAGUUUGCGGCUCAACCGUAAAAUUGCAGUUGAUACUGGAUAUCUUGAGUGCAGUUGAGGCAGGCGGAAUUCGUGGUGUAGCGGUGAAAUGCUUAGAUAUCACGAAGAACUCCGAUUGCGAAGGCAGCCUGCUAAGCUGCAACUGACAUUGAGGCUCGAAAGUGUGGGUAUCAAACAGGAUUAGAUACCCUGGUAGUCCACACGGUAAACGAUGAAUACUCGCUGUUUGCGAUAUACUGCAAGCGGCCAAGCGAAAGCGUUAAGUAUUCCACCUGGGGAGUACGCCGGCAACGGUGAAACUCAAAGGAAUUGACGGGGGCCCGCACAAGCGGAGGAACAUGUGGUUUAAUUCGAUGAUACGCGAGGAACCUUACCCGGGCUUAAAUUGCAGAUGAAUUACGGUGAAAGCCGUAAGCCGCAAGGCAUCUGUGAAGGUGCUGCAUGGUUGUCGUCAGCUCGUGCCGUGAGGUGUCGGCUUAAGUGCCAUAACGAGCGCAACCCUUGUUGUCAGUUACUAACAGGUUCCGCUGAGGACUCUGACAAGACUGCCAUCGUAAGAUGUGAGGAAGGUGGGGAUGACGUCAAAUCAGCACGGCCCUUACGUCCGGGGCUACACACGUGUUACAAUGGGGGGUACAGAGGGCCGCUACCACGCGAGUGGAUGCCAAUCCCCAAAACCUCUCUCAGUUCGGACUGGAGUCUGCAACCCGACUCCACGAAGCUGGAUUCGCUAGUAAUCGCGCAUCAGCCACGGCGCGGUGAAUACGUUCCCGGGCCUUGUACACACCGCCCGUCAAGCCAUGGGAGCCGGGGGUACCUGAAGUGCGUAACCGCGAGGAGCGCCCUAGGGUAAAACUGGUGACUGGGGCUA
rnacentral:rRNA from 1 species